GCCAGGCAUGGUGGUGCAUGCCUGUAAUCCCAGCUACUUGGGAGGCUGAGGCAGGAGAAUUGCUUGAACCCGGGAGGCAGAGGUUGCAGUAAGCCGAGACUGCACAACUGCACUCCAGCCUGGGCGACAGAGCAAGACUCUGUCUCAA
rnacentral:sRNA from 1 species